CGUUGCGUUUCUGCCCGCCAACGGGACACACCGAAAGCACAAACAUUUUCAAACCCCAAUGCAUAUAUAACAUAAAGACAAUCUCCACCAAUACAACCCACCGCUCCCCCUUUCUCUCUCUCUCUCUUUCUCCUCUCCUCUGGUUCUUCUUCAAUCCCCUUUUUCUCAGUUCCGCCGGACAUGGAUGGCCCUUUGAGCUCCUCCUUUUUCCUCUUUUGAGUCCUCUAAUCCAAGCUUCAUUCGAUGGCAAUGCAUCGCUAUGAGCCAGCCGACGAUGAAGCCCAAACCCAUUUGAUUUCGCUCGAUUCUCUGUUUUGCGAGGAGGAGAAAUGGGAGGAGGAGGAGGAGGAUGAAGAUGAGCUAGAACAGACCCAUCAAGCCCAUGUUUUUUCUUUGGAUGUUUUGGAGGAAGAUCUAUUUGGGGAAGAUGAACGCCUUCUCUCCUUGUUGUCUAAGGAAACAGAGCAGCUGAAACAGAGCAAUCUCAAGCUUGAACCUCUGUUAAUGGAUCCUUCUGUCUCUGCUGCUCGUUCUUCAUCUGUGGAGUGGAUGCUUAAAGUUAAAUCCCAUUAUGGGUUCUCGUCUCUCACUGCAAUUUUGGCCGUUGCUUAUUUCGACAGGUUCCUCUCGAGCUUUCAUUUUAGAAGUGACAAGCCAUGGAUGAACCAGCUUGUGGCUGUCACUUGCCUCUCGUUGGCGGCUAAAGUGGAGGAGGUUGAAGUUCCUCUGCUACUUGACCUUCAAGUGGAGGAUGCGAAAUUUGUGUUUGAGGCCAAAACCAUUCAGCGAAUGGAGCUUUUAGUGCUGUCAACUCUUCAAUGGAGGAUGCAUUUGGUUACUUCGUAUUCAUAUCUUGACAACAUUGUAAGAAGGCUUGGGUUAAAGACCAAUCUUCAUUUGGAGUUCUUCAAGCGUUCUGAGAAUCUCCUCCUUUCUCUUCUCUCAGAUUCAAGAUUUGUGGGUUAUCUUCCAUCUGUCUUGGCAAGUGCAACAAUGAUGAACAUUAUAGAACAGAUUGAACCCCAUAAGUCAAUGGAGCACCAAGAUCAUCUUCUGGGUGUUCUUAAAAUGAGCAAGGACAAAGUGCUAGGCUGUUACAAUCUUGUAGUGGAGCAUUCAAAGGCAUGUAGCAAUGGCUUAUAUCAUUCCAACAAUCCCCACAAGCGGAAGUACGAACAUCAUCAAGCUCCUGAUAGCCCAAAUGGUGUGAUUGAUGCUGGUUUCAGUUCAGACAGCUCCAAUGAUUCAUGGGCAUUGAGAGCAGCAGCAUCAGUUUGUUCUUCACCUGAACCAUCUUUCAAGAAGAACAAAACUGAAGAGCCAAGAAUGUUAUAUCAUUCUCUGAACAGGAGGGUCUGUUUGGACAUUGUUGGCAGCCCUUCUUAGUUCAUAAUCCGCCCCCCUUUCCCCUCCAAAGAACUAGGAAAUGAUUAUGUAUGUGUUAUAAUGCUCUGCUCCAUUUCUCACUUUUGAUAUCAAAUUGCUUGCCCAUAAUGUUCUUGGCAUUAGAAUUGGAAGGUGGAAGGAAGAGCAGUGAUGGGGAUUUGAUGGGAAUGUUCACAAGAACAGAAGUGACCAGAAAAAAAUGGCAUUGCAGAGGAGAAGACAAAAAGGAAAACAGAGCAGACCCACAUGGUUUCAGGGAGAGAUGGGUGUGUCUUAAAACGAGCUAUGGAGUGAUCGGAGAAGCCAAGGUUGUCUUGUCUGUAGGAAAAUGGUGUUUGAGUCAUUGUCCUGUCCGAUCUUCUCUGAACAAUGUUCUUAUUAAAGCUGCAUUUUCUUUGCACAAUAUCAGUGCCUUUCAGCCA